GGCCCGGCGGGGCUCGGACAGCGGGCGCCUCGCAGCCCUCACUGCCCCCGGAGCCGCCGGUUCGAGUCCCGCGCCCGCGCCCCGCCUGGCUGAGGAAGACUCUGCCUGUGCUUACAGUUUUAAGAGUUAUCUAGAGAUGCAGCCAAGCACCAAAGCAGGACAGGAGCUGAGGUAGAGAUGUCCAUCAGGACAUGUUUUCACAGAAAUCAUUGUGUGUGAUGACUUCACCCUGCAAUUUAGCUGAUCUGAGUCAUGGAAUAAUUGAAAUGUUCGUCUUGGUCAGCUCUGUGUGGAGAUGAAGGACAGCAAAAGCUUGUGAGGCUUUAUCAAAACACUGGACAGGGUUAUUCCUAAAGUUAUAAGACCUACAUUUUAUAAGUCUGAUAAAAAAAGGCUCUUAAAUCAACCCAUCUCCUUCUUAGCAUCUCCUUCUUCUCCUUUCUAGUUCAUCUCCUUAUGGGUAACAGUCAACUACCAGUUAUCUAAUUUUAAACACUCCCCCACUAAAUCACUAUUUAGUGUGUCAGAAUCUAUUCUGAUCUUUGUGGGACAAGUAAUUAGAACACCUUUUCUAGCUGGAAAACUCUCAUUUUCUUUGUGAGAUUAAUUUUGUUUGAAGGUCAGGUUUUCUGCAGACCCACUUGAGCUGGAAGGAGACUCUGCCACUGCCAAAUGGAGCCAGAAUUUUAGGUGUUUACCAGCACAGGGAAGAAUUUCUUUUCCAGGAUCUGUGGGAGAUACUGAAUUAGAAGAAAGCAGUCACUAGUUCAGGCCAACCAAAGAAACUUGGGAUCUCUGUUUUUCUCUUUAAAUGAGCUGGGAUGAAGAGAAAUUGAAUGCAGAUGAGGGAACAGAUGUUUAAAAUCUGAUUUAGGGGGUGGAAUCCAGUGUCACCUGGGAAGGGCUGAGUUGUUUUCUUUGAGCUUGCAGGGUCAAACCAACCAGGAACUGCUGUUCAGCUUCCACAUAAAAGUAAUGUGGGGCUGAGGGGGAAAAGGUUGAGGUGAGAACAGGAAAUAAAAUCAGCUGGAGAAGGGGUUGGCCAAGAGCAGGAGGCACAAGGAAGACUCUGGGAAUAACACCUUGGGAUUUCUUGGGAAAGAGGUCUGCUCGGGCACUGAGUUGUUAUUUAAGAUUAAUGUUCUACGAGCCUGAUUUCUGUAUUGAUUUUCCUCUGGGUGUUGCUGCCAGUGAUGAAGGAAGGCCCUGAGGAACUCCGAGGUGGUUACAAAACAAUCAAGUGACAGAACCCCCUCCCUCCCCCAGAGCAGUUCCUGGUUCCUUUGUGCUGGACCAGCUGCAGUCGUGUCCAUCCCCCUCGAGUCAGCCGGGGCUGCUGGAGCUCUGCUGCUGGAAAAGGGGGAUAAUGUGGAGAGGGGAAGGAGCCCUGCCCUUCCCUGGGCCACGCAGAGCAGGCUGGGGAGCCCAGCACCUUGCAGGGCCCUCGGCAAACGCCCCCCUGUGCCAUCCCACUGUGAGCAGCAGUUCUGAGGGCACCAGCUUUAGGGGAUUUUUCCAUGAAUAUUUUCCUUCUCUGCUGACCCUUUCCCCUCAUUUGCUUGCUGUGUGGAGACUUUCCUAGUUUAUUUUUUGCUCUCUCCCAGAAGUCCAUCACCAUCUGACGUGUCUCUGCAGGACAGGCCACUUUCCCAGGCAGGUGAGGGGGCAGGGGUGGCUCGUUUUCCUUCAGUUCCUGCCCUGCUUGGAUCAGCCAAGCUCAGGGAUGAGGAAGUGCCCGGCACAGCCCGGCUUUUGUAACUGCUCCUUUCGUUUGGAAAUGUUAUCAAAACAAACAGAUGCCGGCAGGAUGAGCGGUAAGACCUGUGCAGAGUCUGAGUUCAGAGGGAGCUUUGCCUGCUGAAACAUUUCACCCAGCAGCUCGUUAAAAUGCAGAUAUUCCAAGGAGACUUCCCCACCUCCCCCAUUAGAUCAGUCCUGCGAUAAGAGCAUAUUUUCCCACCAAUAAAAUGAACGAGCCUGGAGGGCAGGGAAGGUUAUUUUGCCUGGAAUAAGUUAUAUCCCACGCUUCCCCUUAAUUGUGGCUGAGGAACCAGUUCACUCCUGAGAACAAGCCAGAGACCAACCUCUGCCAGCACAACUGGCAAAGAGGGAUUUCUUCCCUCUUUGUGCUGCUUUAUUUUGGGUAUAAUCCCUGUGGAUGCAGUCACAGGGGUGCUGCAGGAGGGACACAGGGAGAUCCAGCCCUGGCAGAGCUGCUUUUGCCAGGCUGUUUAUUUGAGCAGCAGGAGCCUCGUGCUUUCUGCCCACGAGCCACCCGUGUCUGAACCAAUAUUUACUCAGGGCUCUGUGCACUGGGAUCGUCAGCAAUCCCUGCAGUGAGAGCAGGGCUGGAACCAGCCACCAGGCCAGAUUAGCAGCUUGGCUUGUUUACAUUUUUGAAAAAAACCCCCAACCCUUGAAUUCCAGGCUGAGGGAAAGGUAAAAGGUGGCAGCUCAGCAGCUCCGGGAGCCUUUACCCACCCACAGCAGAGCUCUCCCUGCAACAGCCCGCCCAGAAAAUCCCCUCUGGGCAGCAGAGCCCGACCUGUGCAGGCCUUGGCACCUCCCCAAAGGGACAGACCUGCUCUGUGACAACCCAAAAUCCAAAGAACAGGUGCUUUCAUGAUGUCCCCAAGGGCCUGACAGCAAACUGCCACAAAAGGAGGCACCGAGCUGCCAACACACUGAGGAGGGGAGGCUUUAAACUGCAGGCAGCUCUAUUUCAGUACUAGAAUUUUCCAGUUUUCCUACAGGUUUUUAUUUAUGAAGCUGUUCUAGCUUACAAAUUAACUUACCCUGCCUCCUGCUUGUUAUUAACUCUGAGAUUUGAAGGGUUCAUUGCUCGUGGAAAGGUGUGACCACAGCACUCGGUGUUUUACAGCCACGCUCCCGAGAGCAUCACGAUGCCUGUCCUGGGGUUUCCAGAGAAACCAGGUUUUAGGGAGCUGUUUAUUGCCACAGUCUGUGUCUGUAAGCUCACAAUCUCACACAGAUAUCCUAAUUCAACCCACAGAGGCAGGGAGGAGGUGAAGAGCCCACUCCGUGCAGAGCUGAGCAUGUGCUCAGAGCUCUUAAUGAGACCAACAGAUUUCCUGAGGUGCUGACAGAUAAAGAGGUGGCCCAGGGAAGGCAAGAAUCCUUGAAAUGGCUGUUCAGGAUUGGAGCCAUGACCUAGUUAGUCUGAUUUCCUGCUCCCAGUGACUUUUACCAAGUAGUUCAGGUGAUGAGCUGAAAACCUCCUGCCUCAGAGAUGGGGGAAGAGACAGGGAGUGGCUGUGGCGGCUGAAAAUAAACUGGACAGGAGUUAAGAAUUAGUGCUGAAAUCUGUUUUCUGGGGUAUUUUAGCUACUGAAGCUGUUACUUUUUUUUCCUCUGGAUGUCUAUCUGAUCCCCACAUAAAUGUUUGUCCCUUCCUGGGUCAGGGUUUCCCUGCUGGAUAAGUCCUUUCCCGUUGCAACGGUGCUCUGCCUUCCUGGUGCUUCCCUGGACUUUUGUCCUACAGCACAAUAACUUCCCAGCUCACAGUUCCUCAUUCCCUGUGACGUUUCCAUGUUUGUUUGGCUUCACACACAGACACAUUCUGGAUCCCUGAGUGCCUUGGGAGCCAAGGGUCGUGGACAUUCCAGCUGGGAAGUCUCAGCCCACCUUCAGGCUCGUUGGGCUCCUUGGGGAGGGAAAGGGGUAAUCAGCUGUUCCUGAAGGAACAGGACGGGACAGGAAGCAGUGGGAGCCAGCAGGUCAGGCCUUAACAGCUGUCAGGACAGUGUGCACAGCCCUGGAGCUCUGCUAAGCCAAGGCUCAGGCUUAAUGGGAUGAAUGGGCACGUUAAACCCGAUCCCUACGGAGAUCCGAGCGUGUCGUGGUCGUGGAUCCCACCCCAUCCCUCGGACUGGGUGUAUUCCUUAGGCAGGGAAACAGGAGCUGUGCUUUACCUGUUCAGUCUUCCAAUGCUUCCUUCCAGCCCUUUGGGAGGGUGGAACUUCCUACCCUCACUGUGGAUUGGGAAGCUGGGGCUGGGAGAAAGGGAAGUACAGAAUAAGGUGGGAGUUGAUCUUGUUCCUCUGCUCCCUUCAGGUGCCUCCUCUGACCUCAGAUCCUGUGGGAAAUGGGCUUUUAAAAGUCUCCUCAGCAUCCUUUGAAAUAACCAGAAUAUUCGCUUGAACCUGAAAUCUCUGUCCUGUCCCUGGGAGCGUGUGAUUCCUCAGGCAGGGAAAAGAGGAGCUGUGCUUUGUGUGUUUAAGGUUCCAACGCAACCCCUCAGCCCUCACAACCCCUUUGGAGGGUGGGGGUCCUGGGCUGGCUGGGGGGUCCCCGGGGUGUGUUUGAGGGCCCCUGAGAUGUGUUUGGGGUCCCUGGAGUGUGCGUGAUGGCCCCUGGGGAGGUUUUGGGGCAGUUUUGGGGCAUUCUGCUGCAUUUUAGGGCAGUUUUGUGACAUUGUGGGGCAUUUUUGGUCAAUUUGGGUACGUUUUGGGGCAUUUUGGAGCAGUAUGGGGACAUUUCAGGGCAGAUUUUGGGCAUUUUGGGUCAUUGAACCUGAAUUCUCUGUCCUUAUCCCACCUCAACUCCCAUUGAUUUUUAUGAUUUUUUUUUAAUCUCUCUGUUGCAUUUAAAGAAAUUUCUGGGAGAUUAUUCCUUAGAAGUGAUAACCAUAUUUAAUUCUCUUUUCUAUUACACCAGGCUUUUCUUUCCAUGGUUUCCUGGUGUCCUGCUGCCUGGCAUUGUCAGGUUUGUGUGUUGUGGUUUAAGAUUUAACCUCCUGCUGGUGGUAACUGGAUGCUUUUCCCCAUGAAUUACAGAGGUGGCUGCAAGAUAUCAAUGUAUAAAAACCUGCAUUUAUUGUGUUUUAUCAUUCUCAGGGUGAUGGUGAUGGACGUGACCCACCCCCUGGGGCUCUGCAGGCUCUGAGCACCAUCACUGCUGUCAUUGUCACACCACACCAACACUGAAACUCUUGUUUGUUUGUAUCUUGGUGUCCCUGGGAUUUAUAAAACCCUUGGCAUUUUAACAACAAGCCUUUCCUGAGCUUCUCAU